rnacentral:rRNA from 1 species
UACGUAGGUGGCGAGCGUUAUCCGGAUUUACUGGGUGUAAAGGGCGUGUAGGCGGGUUUGCAAGUCGGGUGUGAAAGAUUCGGGCUUAACCCGGAGAGGUCAUCCGAAACUGCAGAUCUUGAGUGCUGGAGAGGAUAGUGGAAUUCCUGGUGUAGCGGUAAAAUGCGUAGAGAUCAGGAGGAACACCAGUGGCGAAGGCGGCUAUCUGGACAGUAACUGACGCUGAGGCGCGAAAGCGUGGGUAGCGAACAGGAUUAGAUACCCCUGUAGU